GGGGCGCUCAGUGGUUAGCGUGUUUGGCUAGCGCCUCCAGGGUCGGGGGUUCGAUUCCCGCCGUGGCCCUG